UGUGUAUGGAGAUUUUGAGUAUAGUUCUGACAUUUCAAGGAACUUAGGCGUGGGAAUUGAAAGAACCAAUGGAAGGGUUACUGAACAGGGAUAUGAAAAACCUUGGUAUGGAGCUGCCAACGGUGUCUCGGAAACAAUAUCUGGCCAAAAAAAUGGUUUAAGUAUGAAGCAUGCAUUUCCAAAUUUAUCAACGCCAAAGUCCGCC
rnacentral:misc_RNA from 1 species